rnacentral:rRNA from 1 species
GAGGUCGGGAGAGGGAUGUGGAAUUCCAGGUGUAGCGGUGAAAUGCGUAGAUAUCUGGAGGAACACCGGUGGCGAAGGCGGCAUCCUGGACCGGUAUUGACGCUGAGGCGCGAAAGCUAGGGGAGCAAACGGGAUUAGAUACCCCGGUAGUCCUAGCCCUAAACGAUGAGUGCUUGGUGUGGCGGGUAUCGAUCCCUGCCGUGCCGAAGCUAACACAUUAAGCACUCCGCCUGGGGAGUACGGUCGCAAGGCUGAAACUCAAAUGAAUUGACGG